GUGUGGGGCCACAGUAGGGAUGUCUAAAGGGGAGAAGAUUGUGACACCCAAGAAUGUAAGUACCAGACCCACCUGGGAGAUUGGUGAGAUGUCUCCACUAAAAAUACAAUAAGUACUAGGGGAUUUGGGAGGUCAAUGAGGGUGUGUAAACUUUAGUCCCACAUCGCCUAGGGGGAGAUUACUGGGCUAGUUGAUAACCUCUAGCCUCCUUAACAUGGUACAAUGCUUUUUAAAGCCUUAAGGCCCAUGGGUCAAAGAGGACAAUAUUGUGAAAAGGUUAAUGGGGCCGGGGUGUUACACAUAAAGCUUCCACAAGAGAAAUUUUGGGUGGUCAAUUGAAGCUUUCCUCUUGCAUAAAGUGGUUUCCCCACCCCCCAUAUAUCUAAGUUGAACCGAAAAAGUAGUAUUGUCAAUGCGAACAUUAUGUUUUCAACUAGUCUACCCUUCCCAUAAAAAUAAGGAAAAUGAAGCCUAACUCUCCCCAUUUCAUCCAAAAGAAAAUUCUUUAUAUAUUAAUAUGGGGGAGAGCACUCUGUUCAACGGAGCAAACAAAUCAAUUAUUGGGGAGUAAGUUGAGUCAAUAACCUAGGGGGUUGAAUAGGUUAUGCUAGUGGAUUUAAAACCUUUCCGAUUUAAGGUUCCCAAAUGUGAUUGUAAAUUAAAGCCGUAGAGUAGAAAAAUAGACACAAUCAUACAACACCAAGGUUUAUAGUGGUUCAACUCAAUCCGAUUCUAGUCCACUCCCUACAAGUUCCACUUGUAAGGUAUUCCACUAGCUAUUCCCUUUUAGAACAGUAGGCAGGGAGAAAAACCUUUACAAACUCUUUUAAGGAUAAAAGUAUCCAUACAAUCUCUUUACAGGAUGAAAGGGUCUUUUACAAAUCUUUUGAGGAUAAGAGAGUCCUUACAAAUUUUUUGAGGAUAAGAGAAUCCUUACACAAAUCUAAGUACAAUCUAGACUAAUGUGAACUGAAAUUAAAGAGUGGAAUAAGAAAAGAGUCACCUCUUGUGUGGUGCAAUGAUGAAUGCAAGAAUGAGUAAGAAGCACAUUUCUAUAGUUUUCACUAGACUUGAUAAAUCAAUACUAAAGGUGGAAGACUUUGAGUAGACUUUUGAGUUUCACUUGUAAUAAUGGAGUUGACCAAUAGCUCAAGAAUUGUGUAAAUUUAUUUCACUUCCAAAUGCUCUUGAAAAGUUGCUCUAAUGCUUGGUAUUGAUUGUUAAUUAACUAAGAGCGUUAGUGGUAUUUAUAGGUGAGAUUGGGGGACAAAAAUAGGCAAGAAAUCUCCCUCAAACGGUCACUUAUUGGAUCUACAGGUCGACCGCCAUCGAUAGCCGAUCGACCUCCAAAAAAAGCCAUUACCAAAAAGCCGUUGGAGCCAGUUGUAAACCAGCCGGUCUUGUACCGGUCGACUGGACAGGUGCCAGUCGACCGUCCGUAGGCUCGGUCACUCUCAUUUUUGUUAGGGUUUGGAAAAACUGAGCUUUCAUCAAUAUUUGGGCCGUAACUUUCUUGUUUGACAUCAGAUUGGCCCGAUUCCAAGUGCGUUGGAUUCGAAAUUCGAAUCUCUACAACUUUCAUGAAGAGACCAUCACCUACCUAAUUUUAAGUUACCCAAAAUUCCCUUGAGUAUGAUCAUUGUUGUUUUCUCAGAAAUUUUCUGAGUCAUGUUAUUCCUAACAUGUCCCUAACAACUUAAUUAGUCAUAGGUACAUCCUAAGGUCAUUCUAAGGUGCAUGAGUGCAAUGCAUGAUGUGUGAGUGCACAUUUACAAAUUCAUGAAGCAAUUACAUAAUAAGGAUUUAAUCUAUCUUGGAAAAGCUUCUUCGAUAUUCUUCAUGUUGGUCUUGCGACACUUGACACUUUUCUUUCUUCUAUCAAAGCUUCAAGAGGUCCUUGACUUAGGCAUGUUCUUCAUGUCUUGAUGUGACUUCUAUUAUUGAUACUUGACCACGUGGCACUCAACAACUUAUAGUUAAAUUCAUUAUUUGUUUCUUAUCAUCUGAACCAUAUUAGGAGUAUGAGCAUAUCCCCAACAUUGAGGGUAUUUCAAACGCACUUAGUCCAAUAGUAGGAAGUAUUUGGCCAUCGAUAGCUUCCGAGCAUAUUUGGUUGGCGUAGAAAAAAAAAAAAACAAUUCUUAUUAAUAUACAGAAAAAAAAAAAAAAUCCUCAAACAGGCAAUGUAGGGAUGAUUUCCCACACCCUCAUAUUUUGACCAUGUGGGUGCUACACUAACGCCUCUCUCCUCUAUGACCACGCUGUUGGAAAAACAGUUUCCCAUGUCAUAAUUAUUGUGGUGUGAGAGACUCCACCACACGAGCGAUGUGGGAAAUUCUUGCCCUUAAUGUUUAUUUUAUUUUAAACUUAGUUUUCAAUACCAUUCCCAAAAUUGCUAGGAUGUCAUUUAGGAAAUUGGUUUCCAUAAGUGUUUCCCUUCUAAAGACACAUGUCUUGAAGGAAUGUGCUUUCUCCAUCAUUUUCAAAGGACAAGAUCAAUCAUAAUCUACUAUCCUAGAUUUAGUAUCUUUCUUUCUAUAGUUUCUUUUUUUUGGUGGGGUGGUGGGCGAGAUCUUUAGACUAGAUGAGGAACGGGAGGUCUCGAAACCUCCUGGGAGCAUGACUCUGCAUUCUGCACUACCCUCAAGCCAACUGCUAGCAGCUGUAGUAUCUUUCUAUUUAAUGCAUUGCUAUCUUUCUUUUGGCAUUAUACAGUGAAUCUUUUUUUUUUUUCUCUUUGGUAAAUAUAUUGUAAAUUAAUAAAUUUUUGGUGAUGUGUUAAUGAGCUGUCAAUUUCAUUAGUAAAAGCCAUCUGUUAACAGCUGUACCUCUAGCAUCUUUCUAUUUAAUGCAUUGCCGUCUUUGGCCUUAUACAUUGAAUCUACUUUUUUUCUCUUUGGUAAAUAAAUUGUAAAUCAAUUAAUUCGUGGUGAGGUUCAAUGAGCUGUCAAUUUCAUUACUAAGUCUAUUGCCAGAGCACAGUUCCUCAAGCCAGCUGCUAACAGCUGUGCCUCUAGCAUCUUUUUAUUUAAUGAGCUGUCAAUUUCAUUAUUAAAUGUAUUGACAGAGCACUCUUCUUUGUUUAAUUAUAAAAUAGUAUAGAGUUUCAACACUUGUUUCUCUACUAUCCAUUUUUUACUAAGCACCUUGACGGAGUCAUCCAUGGAUGCCCUUCCUUCACCUGCAUCUACUGUCUGUCAAUACUUUAGACUUCAAUGAAAAUUUCUUUCCCAUGAGGUUCCUUUGCUAGCAUGAAUUUACCAGAACAUUGCAAAUGUUUGACAAUAGAGGAGAUGGAAGAUCACUAUUUCCAAAGGCUUGAGACACAUGAAGCAAAAUAUGGAAGGCUAUACUAUCGGAUCAAUGAUUUACCAGAAGAUCAGGGGGAGAUUCAUAUAGAACCAUCAAUCAAAGGGGAGUGGGAAGGAUUAAUUGUGGCAAUGGAAAUAGAUGUGAAUGCUGCAAUGCAAAGCUGCUUCAAGGGAAUUACAGGUUCUGCUCUGUAACCUGCAAGAGCUUUAUCGUCAGCCUAUCAAAUGGAGAUGAUCAGAAUCGCAAUAGCAGUGACAACAUUACACAGACUGACAGUUCCGAAAGACGCAAAGACAAUUAUCUUUCAGCCAUGACUGCGGAUAUGAAAACUAAUCACCUGCCUUCAAGGAAGAGGAAAGAAAAUCCUAAAAGGUCCCCUUUGUUCUGACCCCAUGAAUGGUUUGGCAUGUGCUGCACAAAGAUUAUCUUUAAAGAGACCAAUAAGGUAGACUUCAGCCACUUCCUUCAAACCCAAUACUGCAUGGCGUUGGACACGUAGAUCUCAAUUAAUUUCUUGAUCAGAAGCUCUUUUAGUAUUUGCAAAUUUCAUGGUCAGGAUCAGCUUGAGUGGUAUCUGUGAGGUUUCUUAACUCCUCCAGCGUGGGGACUAACUGGUAGUGAGUAGAUUUGUUGCAACCAAUCCACCUGUGAAUUUUUGAGCCGUUUGUUUGGUUCUAGCCACCUAUACAAGAAGUGGAUCUCCGCUCUGCCAAUCAGAUACCAGUAAAUAAUCUCAGCCUUGAACAUAUCACAUCCAAGAUGGCUCUUGUUCCUUUUCCAAUCUGAUCUCAGGUUAUGGCUCUGUUUGUUUGGUAUAUAAUAGUCAGAGGAACAAAUUUUAUUGGAAAAUCAAAGUUUCCUGGGAUCACCACGGAAGAGCUAAAAGGUUUCACUGGAUAGAUCAUUGCAAAACUUCUGCUGUCUCAUACUAGAGACUUUGUGUAGUACAUCAGAAUCAUUAGGCCUCUGGCUUUAGCUGGAAUUAAUAGUGAAGCCAUCAAUUCCUUUCUGGAGCCCAGGAGAGGCGUCUAUAAUAGCAACAACAACGCUGCACCUAACAACAAAGAACGGGUCGCAUUAACUUGCAGGCUCAUGAACUCCGCUACAAUUUCCCUCAUCUCACUUCAUCUCGACAGGAUAAAAGUGAUGUAGAUCGUUCUCGGCAUUGUCAAGACUCAAGCGCUUCCCCAAGGUCGACCCUUCCAAGGCCAUUUCCUUAUCAGAAGACUUUCUCUGGUCUCCUUUCUAUUGUGUUUCUGAUAUGCUAGCCUGUGUUGGCAUACAAUUGCUCUCUGUAUUUCCACUGUCAACCUCUCUUAUUAAUGUGGAACCUUUGAGAAUUUGAUGUUUUUAGAUUCUUAAAAAUGCUCAUGUUUGUAGAUUGAUUCUUUUCAGUUUCACGACAAGAACUUUAGCAUUACACACAGUUCGACUAAGAAAUCUCUUCUUUUUCUUUAA